rnacentral:lncRNA from 1 species
UGUUUUCCAUCUCGUCCAAUCAGGCUGGCAAAAACGGUGUUUAUCUGAGUGGGUGGCAGAGUUUUAGUGCCAUUCAUGAUGUCAACUGGGACCCUGACUGCUCCUCUAUUCCCAGCCUGGAUGACGGUCUCUCAGCCUCUUGACAAUUCCAGAUUAUCCAAGAAAAUGCUACGCUGCCCGGACGACGGAACCAUCAACUGGACUAAACUCAGACAGGUUGAUCCUCUGUGCAAAAGAUCUGUCACAAAAUAAAAGAGAGAAACAUAUGAGCAGCAACAAGUCCACAGGCAAAUGACAUAUUAAUGAAACAGAGAAAAAUCCACAGGGUGAUGUACAGUGAGGAAAAACACACAGUACAUCUAAGAAGGAUCUUCGGAACUCUAGAUCCACAUCAGCAUCACUAAAGGUAUGCGGCUCAGGGUCAACCAGGCUAACUUAAAGUAGCAGCUUUAGCAAAAGGAAAGUUUUAAGCCUCAAAGACAGCGAUGGUGUGUGCCUCUGAACUGAAGACGGGAGAUGAUUUCAGAUCAAAAGAGUCAAAAAGUUCCAGCCAUGCCCAUACCAUUCUAGCAGGAACAGCCAGUUCAUGCUGGUUAGGAAGAAAAAUAUGAAAAAGUGUGCAGGGAGGAUCUUAGUGUCGAAUGUUAUCAGCUGGUAAAAAACAAACAAACUAAAAAACUCAAUUCUGGUGUUGAAUCACCAGAUUCAGCGGUAAACCAAACUUAAAUGAAUGACCUCCAACUCUGUAAUUGUUUCUCCAUAAAUUACUCAACAGUAAUUAAAUGAAGUCUAAUUAAAAAUGUAUGCAUGUCAUGUUUAAUAUUUGACAGCUGUGGGUUCAUUCAUAUUGUAAUUUGAUUCGAAAUGAUGUUUGCAUAACAAGAUUUCUUUUUUCCUCUCCACUUUAAAACAAGGUUUCUUGCAUAUUUGCUGAGAUUUAUUCUUUCUUGUGUGUAAAUAUGAAAAUAAUACUUCCUUAAAAGAUGACAUAAACGGCCUCUUGGAUUGUGGAUUGGUUAAGCAGGGGUCACGUUAACCCCAGGUAAACUUAAAGUGACAAAAACAAGCGCGCGCAGGACGGGAGUCACAUUUUACAAUGUGUUGGAUGUGAUGGAAUCUCCCACUUCUUCCCUGUGUCUUUUCUGGCUGCUAAUCAGCAUUUGAAAGGCAGCUUUGACAGUGAGAAAGAACGUGUGCAGGGGGGGGGGGGGAUGUGGAUGGGGAGGAGGGGGUAUAAACGAAAGCAUGAGACCCAAUGAGUUAGGGAGGGAGAGCCGGAGAAACCGAGGAGAGGGGCUGUACAAGCAUGCCUUUUAUAUUUACUAGUGACUGAGAGGGAGGCAGGGAGGAAAGAGGGGAGCAGCUGAAGGCAGAGACAACUGGUGUGAGCGCGGCUUUCCCAAGAGGAAAUGAAAAGAAAGAAGCUCAGCAAGGAGAGUGAAUGAGUGAGCAAGGGAGGGAAGGAGGGAGGAUGGCGGCUGGAAGGAGGGAGGGAGCCAAAGAGAAAGAGAUUCUCACACUGGCUAUGUCCUAAUCCGAGUCCAUCUCCAAGACGCAGCGGAGCAGAGUGUUACUGAAGUGAGUCUGAGAGCCA